UCCAACUACCAAAUUCCAUGAAUCAUGAGCAAAUGACUAAUGAUCUUUCUUUUUGUUACGUCCCGUAUUUUUAUACAUUGGAACAACCCGGAUUAACUAUGAUAAUUUAAGGCCAAGAUUAUUCCGGGAUUUGAAGUCGGGACUUUUGACCAUUUGAUUUUAUUUCGAGACACAAAUUAUAUAUGAAAUUGAUGACAUUGAACACUUAGGGAAAAUUAGGACCACAAUUCAUAAAAUUAGGAUUAAAAAUCUUGUGCAAAAAGGGCCAUGUGGCCGUGUGAAUUUAAAGGGGUCCCCACAUUGUGUGGCCAAAUUUAAUUGGUCCAACACAUGUGUGGACCAUAGGGACAUGGAGAUAUUUUAGUGGGAACUUAAAAAUAUGACCUCUAAGUCAUUUCUCUUCAUUUCUACACUUAGAAUAAAAAUUAAGAAGGAGGAGAACAACAACUCCAACCUCACGGCUAAGAGGAGAGAAAAACAAGAUCAUCUUUUUAGCUCCUCUAAAAUUAUUCCAUUGAUGUAAACCCACUAUAUUGAGGUCCCUAAGUAGCGUGGAAGCAUCGUUGGAGCGAUCAACCCAUUAUUUUCAUCUUUUGGAAACCCUAGGCUAUUGGAAAGUUGAAGAAGGAAGAUCGUGGGCAGCCCGAAUCAUAGUUUGGACUUAGCUUGAGUUGGAUCAUAUUGGAGAGCGUUUGAGGUACAGACGCACAGCCUGGUGAUCCACCUGUUUAGGACACCCUUUCUGCUAUUCGGAGUGCUCCUCUCUUUCCGGAGCUUAUACUUUUGGUAUAUAUAUUUAUUAGUGCAUUUGUAUAUAUUCGUUCAUGGGUACGGCGGGGCCCUGUCCCGUCAUAUGAUUCUGUCGGUCUGUUUAGAGGUCUGUGGACAUGUUUGUGGGUUAGGGUCUUUCUGUAUGGAUGUAUGUACAUGUCGUUUGGGCGAUCCCAUACGCCGAGGCGGCCGGUCCGCAUAUGUUGUUUGGGCGAUCCUAUACGCCGAGGCGGCUGGUCCGCAUAUGUUUAUAUAUUGCUUGGUUAGCCC